rnacentral:rRNA from 1 species
GAUGAACGCUGGCGGCGUGCCUAAUACAUGCAAGUCGAGCGAACGGACGAGAAGCUUGCUUCUCUGAUGUUAGCGGCGGACGGGUGAGUAACACGUGGAUAACCUACCUAUAAGACUGGGAUAACUUCGGGAAACCGGAGCUAAUACCGGAUGAUAUUUUGAACCGCAUGGUUCAAAAGUGAAAGACGGUCUUGCUGUCACUUAUAGAUGGAUCCGCGCUGCAUUAGCUAGUUGGUAAGGUAACGGCUUACCAAGGCAACGAUGCAUAGCCGACCUGAGAGGGUGAUCGGCCACUGUGGAGCUGAGACACGGUCCAACCUCCGAAGGGAGGCAGCAGUAGGAAAUCUUCCGGAAUGGGCGAAAGCCUGAAGGAGCAACGGCGCGUGAGUGAGGAAGGUCUUCGGAUCGUAAAACUCUGUUAUUAGGGAAGAACAUAUGUGUAAGUAACUGUGCACAUCUGGACGGGACCGAAGCAGAAAGCCCCGGCUAACUACGU